AGGCCAUGAUGAGGGCACAUUCUCGAAGGUUCUCGGUACCUAUUCCAAGUGUCAUAUAGGUUCUCUCCAUCAAGCUGUGCAAAAUUGGUAAUUUUGUCCCUGUAUUC